rnacentral:hammerhead_ribozyme from 1 species
AUCUAGCUGACGAGUCCUAAAAUAAGACUUAAUGUGCGUCCUGGAU